UAGGGAAUCUUCGGCAAUGGACGAAAGUCUGACCGAGCAACGCCGCGUGAGUGAAGAAGGUUUUCGGAUCGUAAAACUCUGUUGUUAGAGAAGAACAAGGACGUUAGUAACUGAACGUCCCCUGACGGUAUCUAACCAGAAAGCCACGGCUAACUACGUGCCAGCAGCCGCGGUAAUACGUAGGUGGCAAGCGUUGUCCGGAUUUAUUGGGCGUAAAGCGAGCGCAGGCGGUUUCUUAAGUCGGAUGUGAAAGCCCCCGGCUCAACCGGGGAGGGUCAUUGGAAACUGGGAGACUUGAGUGCAGAAGAGGAGAGUGGAAUUCCAUGUGGAGCGGUGAAAUGAGUAGAUAUAUGGAGGAACACCAGUGGCGAAGGCGGCUCUCUGGUCUGUAACUGACGCUGAGGCUCGAAAGAGUGGGGAGCAAACAGG
rnacentral:rRNA from 1 species